GAUGAACGCUGGCGGCGUGCCUAACACAUGCAAGUCGAACGGAAAGGCCCUGCUUUUGCGGGGUGCUCGAUUGGCGAACGGGUGAGUAACACGUGUGUAACCUGCCCCUGUCUUUGGGAUAACUUCAGGAAACUGGGGCUAAUACCGGAUAGGAGCUCUUGCUGCAUGGUGGGGGUUGGAAAGAUUCGGCGGUUGUGGAUGGAAUAGAGGCUUAUGCGCUUGUUGGUGGAGUAGUGGCUUACCAAGGCUUCGACGGGUAGCCGGCCUGGGAGGGUGACCGGCCACAAGGCUACUGAGGGAGGGAGCAGAAGCGAACGGGAGGCAACAGGGGAGAGUAUUGCGGAGUGGGCGGGAGCGAGUGACGAAGGCGCCGCGUGCGGGAUGACGUCCUUCGGGGUGUAAACCGCUUUGGACUGAGACGAGGCGGGAGUGACGGUAAUGGAUAAAGAAGCACCGGCUAACUACGUG
rnacentral:rRNA from 1 species